rnacentral:rRNA from 1 species
AGAUGGACCCGCCGGCGCAUUAGCUAGUUGGUGAGGUAACGGCUCACCAAGGCGACGAUGCGUAGCCGACCUGAGAGGGUGAUCGGCCACAUUGGAACUGAGAUACGGUCCAAACUCCUACGGGAGGCAGCAGUGGGGAAUAUUGCACAAUGUGGCGAAAGCCUGAUGCAGCAACGCCGCGUGAGUGAUGAAGGCCUUCGGGGUUGUAAAGCUCUGUCUUUGGGGGACGAUAAUAAAAGGAAAACAAGGAGGAAGCCGCGGCUAACUACGUGCCAGCAGCCGCCGGUAAUACGUAGGUGGCAAGGCGUUGUCCGGAUUUACUGGGGCGGUAAAGGAUGCGUAGGUGGAUAUUUAAGUCAGAUGUGGAAAUACCCGAGCCCAACUUGGGUGCUGCAUUUGAAACUGGAUAUCUAGAGUGCAGGAGAGGUAAGUGGAAUUCCCUAGUGUAGCGGUGAAAUUGCGUAGAGAUUAGGAAGAACACCAGUGGGCGAAGGCGGACUUACUGGACUGGUAACUGACACUGAGGCAUGAAAGCGUGGGGAGCAAACAGGUUUAGAUACCCCUGGUAGUCCACGCCGUAAACUGAUGAGUCUCAAUAGGAGAGUAUCGACUCCUUCUGUGCCCGCAAGUUAACACAAUAAGUAAUUCCGCAUGAAUAGUACGGGUCGCA